rnacentral:tRNA from 1 species
CGCGGAGUAGAGCAGUCUGGUAGCUCGUUGGGCUCAUAACCCAAAGGUCACAAGUUCAAAUCUUGUCUCCGCAA